rnacentral:rRNA from 1 species
UACGUAGGGUGCGAGCGUUGUCCGGAAUUAUUGGGCGUAAAGGGCUCGUAGGCGGUCUGUUGCGUCGGGAGUGAAAACUCAGGGCUUAACCCUGAGCCUGCUUCCGAUACGGGCAGACUAGAGGUAUGCAGGGGAGAACGGAAUUCCUGGUGUAGCGGUGAAAUGCGCAGAUAUCAGGAGGAACACCGGUGGCGAAGGCGGUUCUCUGGGCCUGUACUGACGCUGAGGAGCGAAAGCGUGGGGAGCGAACAGG